CACAUUCCACCUACAAGCUGCAUUUGCACUUCAAGAAGGACAUUCACGAACUAAUUUAAACCGUCCAGAGAAGAAGGAUGACGGUGGGCUAGGAGAUCAUCUCCUAUGAGGAUCAUGUGAGAGAACUGAGGAGACUCCUCUCUACCAGGAGGUAUUUGCUCAAUGGAUGAACGUAUAAACGAAUUACAAAGCAGGCAGCUUGUUUUCAACACUUCAGUGAGAUUUCUAAAUGGACCACUCAUUUAAUAUAAGAAAAUGUCUGAAGGUUAUAGCCAAUCAAGAGACUGACAUGGCGGACCAGAGACCUGGGAUUAAAACAGCUGAGCUAUCUCUAAUAAAAGUUAUAUUGGAGAAUAAGCCUUGGCCCUGUGGCCCUAUUGGCCUCCUAACACGUGUGCCUUCAAAUCCUCAGACUACUUUAUUCCAUUCCCCAACAGUCCUGGACAACAGCCGACCCACUGAAUUUAUCACAUCGUUAAAAAGCAAACUUGACUGUUACUUCAUGGAGACGUGGUGGAGAGCCCAGCAGAGGCUCAGCCUCUGUGUCUGGUCCCAUCUCCCAAGCCCUGCAGUGAGGGAGGGAGGCCAGCCUUUGUGUAGAGGGAGGCCCUGGGCGUGAAUAUGGACACAGGAGCUCAGGAAACCUGUGUCCUCCCCGGUGUCGUCAACAAUCCUGCUGUGUGACCUUGGUUCACUAGGAUCCUUGGUGAUACGAACCCAGAAGAUAAACCUCAUAAUGCCUGUCAUCACCGUGUGUUUAGCAACUCAACAACAACAACAACAACAACAACAACAACAACAACAGUUUUCUCAUAUAACCUUCACUUUCAAGAAUCUAGUAAAUAAUUUUCCAUGAAGGCCCAUGAAAAAAAAUGUCUGAAACGACUUCCCAUAAUUCUCCGACAUCGUAACUACAGUGAACAGAAUCUGGGUGCAGAGAUACAAGGGUUUUAUUCCCAAGUGCAGCAUUUAUUAGCUUUGUAAUUUUGAGAGAUUUCUUAUCUGUGAGA